CUUCAGUGGUACAAGCUCAAGCCACAACUAAUCUUUGCUUUGUGCUAUGCUCUUAGUAAUCUUUGUUUGUGCUCCUUUGCAGGUUCUUUUACCUGAACCUUUGGAUAACUUUUGUUGAUGCCUCACUUUGCUCUCAGCAUUGUUUUGCUGUUUUGGAUUUUUGACUUCUGGAGAAAGGUCUCCUAUUUUUGUGGAUUAAGAUCCAAGAUUCCUGUUUACUUUGUCAGGACAACAACCAGCUGGCAGCUUCCUGUCUUCACCGUCAUCUGAACUUUGGCAUAAGCAUAACCUGUUCAUGCUCCAACGCAAGUACCUCCUUUCUGAACUCAUCAUUCCUCACAGAUCUCUCAAGCCUUACCGGAGAAACUUCUGUGCCGAACACUCAAACUCCAAAUCCCUCAACCCCUCCAGUGGUUAGAUUACUCCAACAUUAUCAGCCCUGGAGGAUAUCUUACCUGAUCUAUCUCCAGAGACCUCAAGCCCUUGAAUUCCAAAGGGUUUCUGGUCUGAGCACCUCUCCUCUCUGUGCUUUUGCAUCCUCCAUGCCAACUCCAAGCUUUUCAUAACUCCCUGGAAGAACCUCAGAUCCAGGUCAUCACCAGCAGCUCAUGAAUACCUCUGCCCACCUGCUCUCCAGUAUACAGUACCACCAGUCAACAAACGCUGGCACAGGCUUCUCCUGGCACAGCUUUCCCCACACUUACCUCCGAACCAACAGGAUCUGCCUCCGUCUGUGCCGCCACCUCUCCUCGAAUCCGGAAGCCAGCUCCACUAACAUACUUAGAACAUUUCCUCCAUGACUCCUGCUGCCUCGCUAACAUCUCUCUCUCUCUCCUUCCCUCAGAUAAACUGACCCUGUCAGAAACAGAUCUUCACUAUUCACUUAAUAAAUGUCAAAACUUGA